rnacentral:rRNA from 1 species
AAGCGUUGUCCGGAUUUACUGGGCGUAAAGAGCUCGUAGGUGGUGUGUCGCGUCGUCUGUGAAAUUCCGGGGCUUAACUCCGGGCGUGCAGGCGAUACGGGCCGACUAGAGUGCUGUAGGGGUAACUGGAAUUCCUGGUGUAGCGGUGAAAUGCGCAGAUAUCAGGAGGAACACCGAUGGCGAAGGCAGGUUACUGGGCAGUUACUGACGCUGAGGAGCGAAAGCAUGGGGAGCGAACAGGAUUAGAUACCCUGGUAGUCCAUGCUGUAAACGGUGGGCGCUAGGUGUGGGCUGUGUGUUUGCAGUCUGUGCCGUAGCUAACGCAUUAAGCGCCCCGCCUGGGGAGUACGGCCGCAAGGCUAAGACUCAAAGGAAUUGACGGGGGCCCGCACAAGCGGCGGAGCAUGUGGAUUAAUUCGAUGCAACGCGAAGAACCUUACCUGGGUUUGACAUGCACCAGAUCGGCGUAGAGAUACGUCCUCCCUUGUGGUUGGUGCACAGGUGGUGCAUGGUUGUCGUCAGCUCGUGUCGUGAGAUGUUGGGUUAAGUCCCGCAACGAGCGCAACCCUUGUCUUAUGUUGCCAGCACACUUUGGUGGGGACUCAUGAGAAACUGCCGGGGUCAACUCGGAGGAAGGUGGGGAUGACGUCAAAUCAUCAUGCCCUUUAUACCCAGGGCUUCACACAUGCUACAAUGGUCGGUACAACGGGUUGCGACACUGUGAAGUGAAGCUAAUCUCUCAAAGCCGGCCUCAGUUCGGAUUGGGGUCUGCAACUCGACCCCAUGAAGUCGGAGUCGCUAGUAAUCGCAGAUCAGAACGCUGCGGUGAAUACGUUCCCGGGCCUUGUACACACCGCCCGUCACGUCAUGAAAGUUGGUAACACCCGAAGCCCAUGGCCUAACC